UACAGAGACCUCAAGCGUUAUCCGGAAUCAUUGGGCGUAAAGCGUUCCGACAGGUGGUCACGCAAGUGUCUGGUUAAAUUUAGGGGCUCAACCCUUAAACCGCUGGGCAUACUGCGAGACUAGAGGAACAAAGAGGAAGCUGGAACCAGCGGUGUAGCAGUGAAAUGCGUUGAUAUCGCUGGGAACACCGAUAGCGAAGGCAGGCUUCUGGGUGUUUCCUGACACUUCUAGGACGAAAGCGUGGGGAGCGAAUGGG
rnacentral:misc_RNA from 1 species